CAGUCGCCGCGGUAAUACGUAGGUCCCGAGCGUUGUCCGGAUUUAUUGGGCGUAAAGGGAGCGCAGGCGGUUUAGUAAGUCUGAAGUUAAAGGCAUUGGCUCAACCAAUGUAUGCUUUGGAAACUGUUAGACUUGAGUGCAGAAGGGGAGAGUGGAAUUCCAUGUGUAGCGGUGAAAUGCGUAGAUAUAUGGAGGAACACCGGUGGCGAAAGCGGCUCUCUGGUCUGUCACUGACGCUGAGACUCGAAAGCUAGGGGAGCGAACGGGAUUAGAUACCCUGUAGUCCCUGUCUCUUAUACAC
rnacentral:rRNA from 1 species